rnacentral:rRNA from 1 species
UACUUUGGGAUAUUGCGCAAUGGCCGCAAGGCUGACGCAGCAACGCCGCGUGGGGGAUGAAGGUUUUCGGAUCGUAAACCCCUGUCGAGAGGGAAGAAAGGUCAAGCUGGAAAUACCGGCUCGACUUGACGGUACCUUUAGAGGAAGUUCCGGCUAACUUCGUGCCAGCAGCCGCGGUAAUACGGGGGGAACAAGCGUUGUUCGGAAUUACUGGGUUUAAAGCGCAUGCAGGCGGGAAGGCAAGUCUGGUCGUGAAAUCCUCCGGCUCAACCGGAGAAUGGCGCUGGAAACUGCCUUUCUAGAGUACGGGAGAGGAAAGUGGAAUUCCAGGUGUAGCGGUGAAAUGCGUAGAUAUCUGGAAGAACACCGGUGGCGAAGGCGGCUUUCUGGUCCGAUACUGACGCUCAUAUGCGAAGGCUAGGGGAGCAAACAGGAUUAGAUACCCUGGUAGUCCUAGCGGUAAACGUUGGGCACUAGGUGUUGGUUUCCGACGAGGAGAUCAGUGCCGCAGCGAAAGCAUUA